rnacentral:rRNA from 1 species
UACGUAGGGUGCGAGCGUUUGUCCGGAAUUAUUGGGCGUAAAGAGCUCGUAGGCGGUCUGUCGCGUCCGUUGUGAAAACUCGAGGCUCAACCUCGGGCUUGCAGCCGAUACGGGGCAGACUAGAGUUCGGCAGGGGAGACUGGAAUUCCUGGUGUAGCGGUGAAAUGCGCAGAUAUCAGGAGGAACACCGGUGGCGAAGGCGGGUCUCUGGGCCGAUACUGACGCUGAGGAGCGAAAGCGUGGGGAGCGAACAGG